rnacentral:rRNA from 1 species
UACGGGGGGGGCAAGCGUUGUUCGGAAUUACUGGGCGUAAAGGGCUCGUAGGCGGCCAACUAAGUCAGACGUGAAAUCCCUAGGCUCAACCUAGGAACUGCGUCUGAUACUGGAUGGCUUGAAUCCGGGAGAGGGAUGCAGAAUUCCAGGUGUAGCGGUGAAAUGCGUAGAUAUCUGGAGGAAUACCGGUGGCGAAGGCGGCAUCCUGGACCGAGAUUGACGCUGAGGCGCGAAAGCCAGGGGAGCAAACGGG